CGCUACUUCUCGCGAGAGCGGUAGGAAAGGUCGGCCGCGGGCCGUCAGCGUUGGGCCUUAAGUGAGAAGUUUGCGACGUAGCGCCCGGGGCGCUGUUCGAGGUCUUCGGGUUGACCUUCUCCGCCAUUAUGGUUUGUCGCUGAGUUGUGGUGCAGCGGUCUGGGGCCUUUUUGUGGCACUGAGCCUUAGGACUGCCAUGGGGCUGCUGUGGUGAGGCCGGCAUCUGGGGAAUUUGCCUCAGUUGUGUGAACCACAUACAUUUUUAAGGAAAAGUGCAGAGACACGUAGUCAUAUAAAAACAAAAGAGAAGAAAAUAAAGAUGCUGGAAAACAACUCUGAAGCUCCACUAGAAUACAUGACUCCUGUUUAAACAAAAAAUCCUGUUCCAGUACUGUAGCACUAUUCUGCCCUCCAAAAUAUGCUUUUGGUUCACUGCAGUAUCCCCCACUGCUACAUUUCAUAACCACAUUCAGCACCAGCUGUAUCUACAGAAUCACAGAAUCACAGGUUGAGGUUGGCAGGGGUCUCUGGAUCCAUCUGGUCCAGCUCCAAACCCUGCCCAGGCAGGAGCAUCCACAGCAGUUGUGCAGGACCAUCUCCAGGCAGCUUUUGAAGAUAUCUGAGGAAAGAGACUCCACAGAGAGGAAGACUCUCUAGACAACCUGUUCCAUUGCUCCACCACCUGCAUAACACAGCAGANNNNNNNNNNNNNNNNNNNNNNNNNNNNNNNUCCUGCUGCCCAGGAGCAAACUUCUGUGUUUCAGCAGCUUGUGUCCAUUCUGUCCUGUUCUGUCAGUGGGCACCACCAGAAAAAGACUGGCUACAUCCUCUUUGCAGCCUCCCCUAGAUGCAGACACACUUGAUGAGGCAAGUAGAAGCUUCCAUAUUUAUUUUCCACAAAGAAAAAAAAAAUAAAAACAAAAACAACAACA
rnacentral:lncRNA from 1 species